rnacentral:rRNA from 1 species
UACGAAGGGGGCUAGCGUUGCUCGGAAUUACUGGGCGUAAAGCGCACGUAGGCGGACUACUAAGUCAGGGGUGAAAUCCCGGGGCUCAACCCCGGAACUGCCUUUGAUACUGAUAGUCUCGAGUCCGGAAGAGGUGAGUGGAAUUCCGAGUGUAGAGGUGAAAUUCGUAGAUAUUCGGAGGAACACCAGUGGCGAAGGCGGCUCACUGGUCCGGUACUGACGCUGAGGUGCGAAAGCGUGGGGAGCAAACAGG